rnacentral:rRNA from 1 species
UGGGGAAUAUUGGACAAUGGGCGCAAGCCUGAUCCAGCCAUGCCGCGUGAGUGAUGAAGGCCUUAGGGUUGUAAAGCUCUUUCACCCGGGACGAUAAUGACGGUACCGGGAGAAGAAGCCCCGGCUAACUUCGUGCCAGCAGCCGCGGUAAUACGAAGGGGGCUAGCGUUGUUCGGAAUCACUGGGCGUAAAGCGUACGUAGGCGGACCGUUAAGUCGGAGGUGAAAUCCUGGGGCUCAACCCCAGAGCUGCCUUCGAUACUGGCGGUCUCGAGUCCGGAAGAGGUGAGUGGAACUGCCAGUGUAGAGGUGAAAUUCGUAGAUAUUGGCAAGAACACCAGUGGCGAAGGCGGCUCACUGGUCCGGUACUGACGCUGAGGUACGAAAGCGUGGGGAGCAAACA